rnacentral:rRNA from 1 species
GACGAACGCUGGCGGCGUGCUUAACACAUGCAAGUCGAACGGAAAGGCCCUGCUUUUGUGGGGUGCUCGAGUGGCGAACGGGUGAGUAACACGUGAGUAACCUGCCCUUGACUGUGGGAUAAUUUAAGGAAACUGGGGCUAAUACCGGAUAGGAGCUCCUGAUGCAUGGUGGGGGUUGGAAAGUUUCGGCGGUUGGGGAUGGACUCGCGGCGGAUCAGCUUGUUGGUGGGGUAGUGGCUUACCAAGGCUUUGACGGGUAGCCGGCCUGAGAGGGUGACCGGCCACAUUGGGACUGAGAUACGUCCCAGACUCCUACGGGAGGCAGCAGUGGGGAAUAUUGCACAAUGGGCGGAAGCCUGAUGCAGCAACGCCGCGUGCGGGAUGACGGCCUUCGGGUUGUAACCCGCUUUCGCCUGUGACGAAGCGUGAGUGACGGUAAUGGGUAAAUAAGCACCGGCUAACUACGUG